rnacentral:rRNA from 1 species
UACAGGGGGAGCAAGCGUUGUUCGGAUUUACUGGGCGUAAAGGGCGCGUAGGCGGCCACCGCAAGUCGACUGUGAAAUCUCCGGGCUUAACCCGGAAAGGUCAGCCGAUACUGCGGGGCUAGAGUGCAGAAGGGGCAACUGGAAUUCUCGGUGUAGCGGUGAAAUGCGUAGAUAUUGGGAGGAACACCAGUGGCGAAGGCGGCUCACUGGACCGGAACUGACGCUGAGGCGCGAAAGCGUGGGGAGCAAACAGG